GAAAUGCGUUAAGUAAUGUGAAUUGCAGAAUUCAGUGAAUCAUCGAAUCUUUGAACGCACAUUGCGCCCGCCAGUAUUCUGGCGGGCAUGCCUGUCCGAGCGUCAUUUCAACCAUCAAGCCCCCGGGCUUGUGUUGGGGACCUGCGGCUGCCCGCAGGCCCUGAAAACCAGUGGCGGGCUCGCUGUCACACCGAGCGUAGUAGCAAUCACCUCGCUCAGGGCGUGCUGCGGGUUCCGGCCGUUAAACAGCCUUACAAAACCCAAGGUUGACCUCGGAUCAGGUAGGAAGACCCGCUGAACUUAAGC
rnacentral:misc_RNA from 1 species